rnacentral:lncRNA from 1 species
AUGAAAGUUUCAAAAUGGAAGUUAGGAAUUCUUUGUUUUAUAAGUGGAUGUGUAAUGUCUGGUCAGGUGGAUGCUUGUAUUCCUGAUAGAGUUCCAAUGGGACUCUUAAUCACAGAUUGCCCUUAUCCACAACUGAAAACUCUUGAGAUGCAGAGGACUCUUGCCCUAAAAAUCAUUCUUUCCUUUUCUUUUUUUCUACCCACAGAAGCCCCAAGACAGCAACCUGCUGAACCUGAACCAGCCCCAAGGCAACAAACUAGGAAAAGUAAAGACGCAGAAGAGCCAGGCGACCCACCUGAAGGAGAACCAGGUCCACCACCUGAAGGAGAACCAGGUGCACCACCUGAAGGUAAGUAAUAUGUCUAUCUCUAAACACUCCUUUCUUUCCCCGUUCCUUGAGGACCCUAGACCUUGUCUCUCAUUUGAAACCAUUUGGCACAUCCACUCUUAAAGUUCAGUACCAAGAAAGAGAGGGUAAUAAUGAACUAAGAGGGUGGUCAGCUUAAAAGGCUUUGUUUUCUCUUGCCAUUGCAUAGCUCUCAUAUUUCCACCAGAGAUUUUUCCAGAUCAAAAAUUCAAAAUUAUUUUGCCAUCUUUUCCCAAAGCAUAGUUUGCUUUUUUCCAUUGCCUAAUAUCCUAGAUCAAACAUUUCAAGAUCACUUUGUAAUAUUUAAUGCAAUGUUCUCUUCAUG